GCCUCACAAGCACAACCUCAGGCCUGUCUGGGACACCUUUCAGCACCCGACAUCCUUCUUUUUCAACGUCUAUGAUAACACCAAAAGACAUAUCGGCUAACAACACAAGAUCAUGCAACUCAUAUUCCCCAAUUUUUGUAACCCCGGAGGUAACCUCAGAACUCUCCACCACAUGAUCAGCAAAGACACGAAUAUCUUCUUUUGUAGUAUCAGAUAAAACAAUCAAAACAUGGCCCUCAACCUUCACCACCAUA
rnacentral:misc_RNA from 1 species